UACGGAGGGUGCAAGCGUUAUCCGGAUUUACUGGGUUUAAAGGGUGGCGCAGGCGGAUAUGUAAGUCAGUGGUGAAAUCUCUAGGCUUAACCUGGAAAUUGCCGUUGAUACUAUAUAUCUUGAAUGCUGUGGAGGUAAGCGGAAUGAUGUCUGUAGCGGUGAAAUGCUUAGGAUAAUGACAUAGAACACCUAUUGCGAAGGCAGCUUACUACGCAGAUAUUGACGCUCAUGCACGAAGCGUGGGGAUCAAACAGG
rnacentral:rRNA from 1 species